GACGAAUAAGAAUUCUUCAUAAAGCUCCUCUUCAAAUUGAAUAAAGAUAUCAAUCCUACUAAGGCUACACAUUCAACGAUGACUCCCACUAAAUCUUGCAUUGGAAAGAAAAGAAUGCAAGAAACUUCUUCAACAAUGAUUGAUUGAGCCAACCACCUUCUCAUGCGCAUGUCAACCAUUUAUGUAGAAAAAAGAUUGAAGAAAGUUAAAGGCAAAAAGAGAUUGGUGAUCGAUUAUAAGCCUUUAAACAGGUUUCUUCAAGGUAAAAAAUUCCCUCUUUUCCAAUCUCCAAGAAGCAAAAAUCUUCUCUAAGUUUGAUAUCAAAGCAGGUUUUCGCCAAAUAGGUAUACAUCCUGAAGAGCACAGCUUUUUGUAUACGGAAUGACCAAUACCAAUGGAUAGUAUUGCCAUUUGAACUUAAAGUUGCUCUAUCACUAUUCCAAAAGGCAAUGACUCAAUUCCUAGAGCCCAUCCUUCAUUGUAGCCUUAGUAUAUAUUGAGGAAGAAGAGGCCCAUGAAAGACUUCUACAAGAAUUUUAUAAGAUAAUGUCAACCCAUGGAAUCAUCCUCUCCAAGCCCAAAAUGCAUAUCAGAUAGGCCUAUAUUGAUUUCCUAGGAAUGCAGCUGCAAGGAGAAAGAAUAGUCCCAAGAUCCCACAUGAUUGAAGAAUUAACAAAAUUCCCAAAUAAUAAUGGGGAAUUUGGCCCUAUACCCUUAUUUUAAACACCUUAACGAAAAAUACCCCUGCCCUUUAAAACUUUUCUCAUCUACCCAUCUUUUUUUCAUUAUUCCAACUUUAUCCUUACUCCGUAAACCACGUGCAAUUUCUUUCCAUCACUGAUCAAUAUCUCACCUAUCACAUUCCACAUCCAGACAGAGCUUUUACAGUUUUAGUAGCUCACCUCUUCUUCUCUGCUGCUUGUCUUCUGGUGAUGUUCCUCCCCAGCAUCUGUCUACAACCCCAUCGCUUCCAAUCAGCUCCUUCUGGCUGAUUACGGCUGGGUUUGUUCAAGAAAUCUCUUCCAAGGUCAGCAGAGUGGUGGUUUCGGAUCACUACAAGACCGCAGUAGAUUGCAGUGAGAGUUCUUGUUUAGUUGGUGAGAAUGUGGAGUGGGUUAUUGACAUCCGGAGGAGUGGAGCUACUGUUGUUUUUGAUUAUUUCAAGGAAAGAGCUGGUAGUGGUAUAAAAGAUUUGAAUUUUGUUUCGAUGAGGGUUUGAUCUUUUGAAUCCAUCUUCGUUCAAGCGGGUAAUUUGUUUUUAUCGGUUUAUUGAUUUUUUAUUUUAUUUUAUUUUAUUUUUUAAAGCUGUAAAGCUACAAAAUUCUCUCUUUAUUUGGGUGUAUAAGGCUUUUGCAUUUGCUUUUUUUGAAUUUGGAGGAUGUAAUUAGUCAGGGAUUAACCGGCUUAUCCUAGAAGCAGGAAUGAUUCUCUCCGUCAAUCAUAUGAGAUUGCUCUUGUGGCUGGAGCAUUUGGAGAUUGCCUGGUAUAGUCAAUGUAUCCUUCUCUCUCUCCAAACAUGGGUCAUUGUAGCAUUUUUAUAUAUGUUCUUGUACUUAUUUGCUCCAACGUAUAGAGGUGUUGUGUUAGGUAGAAGUGAAUUGAUGACUGAAUUCUUAGUGUACAGUCAUGUCAAGUUUAUACAUUUGUUUAUGUUAGAUUUGUCCUUCUAUGCAUGGGCUAUGAAAGCUGAUUCUGUAUUGGAGUUGAGGAGUGAACUUGGACAUAAAUUAGCCAACAAAAGCUGUAAUCUAAAGUUGAAGUGUUGAGGCUCAGCAGACAAAACUGUGAAAUUCUGGAAUUUGGAAACCUUCAAACUGAUUGGAUAUACAAGCCUCAGAGUCACCGCAUUCAACGUCUACUUGGUGAGCGAGCAGGUCUGCAGCUGAAGAGAGCUUGGGAGAGAGAAGAGAAAGAGAGAGAGAGCAGGUCUGCAGCUAGUGUUCUUUCUUAUAUUUUUUAUCAUUAAAAAAUGUCGCACUCAACAUGUUCUAUGGUGCAAUACAUUGUUAAAAAAUAAUUGUAAAUUUGGAUGAUAUGUGAAAGAAAAAUUUAAACGCAAUUUUGAUGAUAAUUAAAAAGAUCCUCACCUUAAAAGCAUA